CAGCCAGCCACAGAUCCCCACCUUUGCAGGAUGCCAGAUUCCCCAGGUCCUCCAGGGCAUUAGGUGGGCAGCCUUGGUCUCUGAGUCCUCCCGCUGGGGAGCGCACCUGACGCGGCGGGCGUGCCGGCGGGCGUGGCGGCGGGGCUGACGUGGCCCGCGGCGUGGAGCAGGCGUGAUUCAUCAGCGGCCGCGGAGCGCUAUGGGGAUGAGCACAGCGGCCGCCUAGGCGCGUCCCCUGCGCGGAUCUCUGGGUCGGGGGCCUGGCUGUGGGAAGGCCAAGAUGGAAGAGAUCCUGAGGAAGCUGCAGAGGGACGCAUCCGGGAGCAAAUACAAAGCCAUCAAGGAGAGCUGCACCUGGGCCCUGGGUAAGCAAGGGCGAUCAAUGCUCUGGAGGCGAGGAGGACGCAGAAGGAGCCAGGUGGGUCCCAGAAAGGCUGGUGCGAUUUGCAGGAGCUCUUCCCCGGAAGGAGGAUGUUCCUGUUGCUGACCAUGGUGAAUUCUGUCCUGAUGGUGGACAAAGAGCUGUAUUGGGCUUAUGGUCCUGACCCACCUUUGUUUCAUUCUGCCCCUGGGAGAAGAUAUUAUGCAGAGAAACCUCUUAGAUACAGUGUGACUGGACAUGAUUGAUCUGGUAAUCAAGACAAUUCUCAACAAGAUCAGGAAGAAUGAAAAAGAGGACUGAAUAUGGGACUUUGAUCUGAUUCCGGUUUUCAGCAGACCUGUAUUUGGAAGAUUGCCACAGAAACACUUGGGAGGCCCUGUAACUGCCUAUGUACAUCCUCCUUAUGCUUUGUCGUUUGGAAAUGUUAAUGUUUUUAUACAAGAUUCAAGCUUUAAUGUUUCUUGCCAUCAAUGUAAACUAACAAACUGCAUUUCUAAGCUUUCAAAUGAACAAUAGGUUCUGAUUGUUCGACAGUCUUUUAUUAUAGUUCUUAUAAAUGUUUCUCAGGCUUGGUAUUUGGAUAAGUGGUCAUCUUUUAAGUCACUUUUAUGGAGUGUUAUUGGACUUGGAGUAUUACUUUUAUUAGGAGCAUGUCUCCUACCAGUGAUAAUUAAAUCCUUCAUCAAGGCCUUUUGGAAUGUUAUAGCUGAUCUGCAUAAGAAUAAACCCCAGUGUCCACCCUAGCGGAGGUUGGUAGUCAAAGACGGUUAGAUCUCUCUGGAGAAUAUUCAACCUAAGAGGACAUGAAUUAUGGAAUUCAUGUACCAGUGACAGGUAAGAAUAUAUAUUUCAAGAGAGACAACCUAAGAAAUGCACAACCUUUGCUCCAUAGCUCUUAGUUAUGAUCAAUUUUUAAAAUACAAAAAAGGGAGACCUGUGGGGAGCCAGGGUGCUUUGUUAUUUAGAUAUCAGCAGAAAGUCAUGUUUUCACCCUGGCUUUCACCUGGAGUCAGUGAUAAGCAGAAUGUUUUGCCAAGUCUACCUCCUUUUGUUUGAGACAACAGGUGAGAUGUCUUGUAAAGUUCACACCUUUUGUUUCUGUGAGGAUCACAGAGACCCAUGGUAGAGGUAAAGAAGAUUGACUUCUCUGUGAAUUCAUUCAUUGUGCCUUUGCUCUAACUUGAAAAGGGAUUGCUGGAAUAAACUGGGGCAACUAGAUUUUCUACUGGAAGCCCUCUUGGACAGA